GGGGUAAUGGGUUUAAACUUAAACAGGGGAGGUUUAGAUUGGAUCUGAGGAAGAAAUUCUUUACUGUGAGGGUGGUGGGGCCCUGGAAUGGGUUGCCCAGGGAGGUUGUGGAUGCUUCAUCCCUGUCGGCGUUCAAGGUGGGGUUGGACAUAGCCUUGGAUGGCAUGGUUUAGUGGGAGGUGUCCCUGCCCAUGGCAGGGGGGUUGGAACUCGAUGAUCUUGAGGUCCUUUCCAACCCUUACUAUUCUAUGAUUCUAUGAUUCUAUAAUGUAGUCAGAGAGAAAGCAAUUGUCAGCCGGGACCUGGCAGGAAACUGGGAGGUGCAGCUUCUUUUCCCAUACAAUGUACCAUGUGAAUUGGGAUGUGAACUGAAAGGCUCAGAAAUGCGUUUAUGGCUUGUGUGAAAAAUUGCAACUCCAGGGACAAGCAAUUUGCUGGGAUGCAGGUUAAAUAAUGCUUCAUACAAAAGAAUCACAACUGCCUGCUUGUCAGCAUAACAUCACAAAACCCAUGCAUUUUAAGCUGUUACAUCGUUGACAAAAAAGUGCUGCUUACCAGAUUGUGUGGAUCACUUACAGCAGCAAUGUCUUUGGAAGGCGCUCCCUUCUUUAACCUUACUCAGCUUGAUUGAGCUGAGAUUGUACUACAUGUUUGAUAUCAGUUACAUUAAAAAAAAUAAAAGUAGAUGUUUUACAAAUGUACUUAAUCUCAGGUGAAAAAAGCAUGGAGAAAUGUUGACUGUUUUUUAAGAAGGUCCUUCUUUUACUUUUGACCUUGUGCCCUUACCUCCUUUUGACUCUUUAUGCUCUCUGCAGCAGAGAAUUGAUGCAGCUCAUCUGAAGGCUCUCAUCCUGCCUCAUUGCUUUGAUGAAAAUACUGACUUGCUUUGAGAUUCCUGGUUUGGUGUGGGUCUGUCUCCCCACUGCUCUCCCUGACUGUUGUGGACAAGCUGCUUAUGGAAGUUUUCAGAGGUACGAAUGGCAACACCCAAGUUACACUGAUGGGAUGGAGGAGCCCAUGCUUGGUGGCAAAGAGCUAAUGGAGAACCAUCCUAGAGAAGAUUCUAGUCCCCCAUGCUGUGACGAGCUUGGGGGUGAGGUCAGGUGCCAUAACAAAGGUGCAGUCUGACUUUUUGAAGCUGGGUCCCUCUCGCAGUGAAUUGACCUUGAAUCUGAAGCAGAGGGCAGUGGGGCUAUAGCCUAUGAAGCAGCAGCCAGAAAGAGGAGAAGCCUUCACUGGAAGGACUCUAUGAAAAACCAGCAGAGCACUAAAAUGCCAAAAAGUGAGGUUAGAGGACAGGGCAGUUAUUGCCCUGUGCAGGACAAGUGAAACUGUGUUUUGGAGAACACAGGGAGGAGUAUAAAAGCUCUAGUGCUGGAUUUCGGUAGAAACUGCUGACACUGUUGGCUCUGUGGCAUUUGAGUAACAUUUUUUAGAAGCCGACAUCAUAAAGCUGUCCAUUGUCCAACAACCAGUUUCAGGGCAAACAUUUCCCCCCACCCUCCUACC
rnacentral:lncRNA from 1 species